rnacentral:rRNA from 1 species
AUUGAACGCUGGCGGCAGGCCUAACACAUGCAAGUCGAGCGGAUGAAGGGAGCUUGCUCCUGGAUUCAGCGGCGGACGGGUGAGUAAUGCCUAGGAAUCUGCCUGGUAGUGGGGGAUAACGUCCGGAAACGGGCGCUAAUCCCGCAUCCGUCCUGAGGGUGAAAGUGGGGGAUCUUCGGACCUCACGCUAUCAGAUGAGCCUAGGUCGGAUUAGCUAGUUGGUGGGGUAAAGGCCUACCAAGGCGACGAUCCGUAACUGGUCUGAGAGGAUGAUCAGUCACACUGGAACUGAGACACGGUCCAGACUCCUACGGGAGGCAGCAGUGGGGAAUAUUGGACAAUGGGCGAAAGCCUGAUCCAGCCAUGCCGCGUGUGUGAAGAAGGUCUUCGGAUUGUAAAGCACUUUAAGUUGGGAGGAAGGGAAGUAAGUUAAUACCUUGCUGUUUUGACGUUACCAACAGAAUAAGCACCGGCUAACUUCGUG